UAGGGAAUCUUCGGCAAUGGACGAAAGUCUGACCGAGCAACGCCGCGUGAGUGAAGAAGGUUUUCGGAUCGUAAAACUCUGUUGUUAGAGAAGAACAAGGACGUUAGUAACUGAACGUCCCCUGACGGUAUCUAACCAGAAAGCCACGGCUAACUACGUGCCAGCAGCCGCGGUAAUACGUAGGUGGCAAGCGUUGUCCGGAUUUAUUGGGCGUAAAGCGAGCGCAGGCGGUUUCUUAAGUCUGAUGUGAAAGCCCCCGGCUCAACCGGGGAGGGUCAAUGGAAACUGGGAGACUUGAGUGCAGAAGAGGAGGGUGGAAUUCCAUGUGUAGCGGUGAAAUGCGUAAAUAUAUGGAGGAACGCCAGUGGCGAAGGCGGCUCUCUGAUCUGUAACUGACGAUGAGGCUCGAAAGCGUGGGGAGCAAACAGG
rnacentral:rRNA from 1 species